rnacentral:rRNA from 1 species
CCUACGGGGGGCAGCAGUGGGGAAUAUUGGGCAAUGGGCGCAAGCCUGACCCAGCAACGCCGCGUGAAGGAAGAAGGCGUUCGGGUUGUAAACUUCUUGUAAGAGGGAAGAGCAGAAGACGGUACCUCUUGAAUAAGCCACGGCUACCUACGUGCCAGCAGCCGCGGUAAUACGGAGGUGGCAAGCGUUGUCCGGAUUUACGGGGUGUAAAGGGCGUGCAGCCGGGAAGACAAGUCAGAGGUGAAAUCCCGCGGCUCAACCGCGGAACUGCAUUUGAAACGGUUUUUCUUUCGUACCGGAGCGGUCCUCGGCCUUCCUUGUGUCGCGGUGCAAUGCGUCGAUCUCCGGACG